UGUGAUGUUCUGAUCGGAACAAAGAUUGCGUUCUUCACUAGCUAAUCUGCAAGUGUUGUGGCAUCCAGAUGACCCGCUGGCAGAGAACUUUUGUA